UCCAGAUUCUGAUUCUCUCUCCCACCAGAACCAGGUGAAAGUUCAAGGCAGACUAAAGAAAGAGCCCUGCCCCAAGCAGCGUCCCUCAGCAUCUCUGGGAGAUGUCAAUGUUAGAUCGGUCUCCCUACGAAGGGGACACUACCCAGAUGGAACGGGGCAGUGGAAGUCUUGCUAUCCCAGCCUGAAAGUGCUGAGGGCAGAUGCCUGUAUCCCUCAGACCCUUCAGAGAUGCCUCAGCUACAGAGAUACCACCUCAAUCAAGUCUGCACCCCUUCCUGGGAGCCCCACAUUCAGUGACCGAUUAAGGUUUUCUACCACCUGGAUUCCACAGCCCAGGAAAAGAAGAAGCAUGCUGGCCUGAGUAGUCUGGAUGGUCCCUGAGCCUUCUCCCAUCAAAAGGCUCACUUUCCAGGAAGCAAUUAACACCUAAUUCACAAUUGCUGGUAUCUCUGUAUCUGUUCUCCAGACUGCUGACAGUUCUUCAGCAUUUUAUUGUACAUAUCUUCUUUGGAGGCCUUUCCGGGUCUAUAGUCUGCUGGAAAGAGCAGCUCUGGGCUAACAGGCAGGGAAGACAACCCCUCAGAAGUCCUGUCUAAACUCACUCUGGCAGAAGCCAAGGAAGCAUCUUCAACCUGGGAAGGAAAGUGUAUAACUGAUUAGAACCCAAGAUCGGCAGAGCAGAUGAAGAAACUGAGGCCCAGAGGAGUCCUCCUUGCCUCAAAGUGACAAUUGCCACCAUUUGAAUUGUAGCUGCUGCUCACUAAUGUGUAACCAACCUCAGGAAGCAAUAUAUGAUGGGAAAAAAAUAAAGUUAAAUAUGAAAAUUAGAGAAACCAAAGUACCCUCUAUAAGAAGAUGCAUUUGCAAAUAAAAGUACUCUAGAACUGCCUGCAUUUAAUUUUUUUUAAUGUUUAUUUAUUUUUGAGAGAAAGAGACACACAGAACAUGAGCAGGGGAGGAACAGAGAGACAGGGAGACAAAGAAUCUGAAGCAGGCUUCUUGUGAAGGUGGAGACGGAGAUUGGAGUGAUCCAUCUAGAUACCAAAGAAUACCAAAGACUGGUGGCCACCACCAGAAGCCAGGAUGAAGCCAGAAAGGAAUCUUCCCUAGAGCAUUUGGAGGGAGAAUGGUCCUGCUGACACCUUGAUUUGGAUGCCUAACUUUCAGAAUUAAGAGAAUUAGAAUGAAAAAAAGGAAAUUUCUGUUGUCCUAAGCUACCCGGUGUGUGGUACUUUGUUAUGGGCAGCCCUAGUGAGCCAACAUGGCCAUUGAUUCAGCAGCAUUCCUGAAUUCAUCUUUGAAAGUGAGUUCUGGAGACAAAAUGUUGGGGUUCACAAGACACCCCCCUUCUUACGAGCUGUGCAACCUUGGACAAAUUGUGUAAGUUCUCUAAGCCUCAGUUUAACUACCUGUAAAAUGAGAACAAAA